UACGGAGGGUGCAAGCGUUGUCCGGAUUUAUUGGGUUUAAAGGGUGCGUAGGCGGCCAUUUAAGUCCGGGGUGAAAGCCCACUGCUCAACAGUGGAACUGCCCUGGAAACUGGAUGGCUUGAGUACAGACGAGGGUGGCGGAAUGGAUACUGUAGCGGUGAAAUGCAUAGAUAGUAUCCAGAACACCGAUUGCGAAGGCAGCUGCCUAGACUGUAACUGACGCUGAGGCACGAAAGCGUGGGGAGCGAACAGG
rnacentral:rRNA from 1 species